rnacentral:lncRNA from 1 species
UUUUGUACCGAAAGAAUUAUCAAAUGAACUAAAUUAACCAAAUUGAAAGAUUGAGUUUAAAAUCAAAACUUUAAAAAUAUUGAAUAGCUGAAUCAAAAUAGUCCGAAUUUUAGAUAAUUUUUACACAUUUUUUUCUUUUUUUUUAAUUACAUCUGACAUAUAGGAACCACACCAACAGGCACGGAAUUAAUACCAAGCUCUGAUACUAUAUUACCAAAGAAAUUAAUUUACUAAAAAUAAUCCAAAAUUCGUCUUAACACAAAUUAAUUACCUUAUUAUAUUCCAUAUUUCCAUGUCAUCUAGAA